rnacentral:tRNA from 1 species
CUUGGGAUAGUUCAGUCAGUAGAGCAUGAGACUCUUAAUCUCAAGGUCGUGGGUUUGAGCCCCAUAUUGGCUAGA